UGGGGAAUUUUGGACAAUGGGGGAAACCCUGAUCCAGCCAUCCCGCGUGUGCGAUGAAGGCCUUCGGGUUGUAAAGCACUUUUGGCAGGAAAGAAACGUCGUGGGUUAAUACCCCGCGAAACUGACGGUACCUGCAGAAUAAGCACCGGCUAACUACGUGCCAGCAGCCGCGGUAAUACGUAGGGUGCAAGCGUUAAUCGGAAUUACUGGGCGUAAAGCGUGCGCAGGCGGUUCGGAAAGAAAGAUGUGAAAUCCCAGAGCUUAACUUUGGAACUGCAUUUUUAACUACCGGGCUAGAGUGUGUCAGAGGGAGGUGGAAUUCCGCGUGUAGCAGUGAAAUGCGUAGAUAUGCGGAGGAACACCGAUGGCGAAGGCAGCCUCCUGGGAUAACACUGACGCUCAUGCACGAAAGCGUGGGGAGCAAACAGGAUUAGAUACCCUGGUAGUCCACGCCCUAAACGAUGUCAACUAGCUGUUGGGGUCUUCGGACCUUGGUAGCGCAGCUAACGCGUGAAGUUGACCGCCU
rnacentral:rRNA from 1 species